AAGUGCACGACUCCAGACUAGU
rnacentral:miRNA from 1 species